rnacentral:rRNA from 1 species
GUCGGGAUGAUGAAGAUGGCCACCGGUGAUGGGUUCCCCCUCCGGCAGGGUGCCGGAACAGGCUCCCGAGAGAUUUUUGGUGGCUACAGAGGCUUGCGGCGGCGGAACUCCUGAUCUAUCUUCUCCGUGGAUGUUUUUAGGGUACGUGGGACUAUAUAGGCGAAAGAAGUCGGUCGGGGGGUGCUCGAGGGGCCCACGAGAC